UGGAAGUAAAAGUCCGUAACAAGGUUUCCGUAGUGAACCUGCGGAAGGAUCAUUA
rnacentral:rRNA from 1 species